UACGGGAGGCAGCAGUGAGGAAUAUUGGUCAAUGGACGAGAGUCUGAACCAGCCAAGUAGCGUGCAGGAUGACGGCCCUAUGGGUUGUAAACUGCUUUUAUAAGGGAAUAAAGUGAGUCUCGUGAGGCUUUUUGCAUGUACCUUACGAAUAAGGACCGGCUAAUUCCGUGCCAGCAGCCGCGGUAAUACGGAAGGUCCGGGCGUUAUCCGGAUUUAUUGGGUUUAAAGGGAGCGUAGGCCGGAGAUUAAGCGUGUUGUGAAAUGUAGAUGCUCAACAUCUGCACUGCAGCGCGAACUGGUUUCCUUGAGUACGCACAAAGUGGGCGGAAUUCGUGGUGUAGCGGUGAAAUGCUUAGAUAUCACGAAGAACUCCGAUUGCGAAGGCAGCUCACUGGAGCGCAACUGACGCUGAAGCUCGAAAGUGCGGGUAUCGAACAGGAUUAGAUACCCUGGUAGUCCGCACGGUAAACGAUGGAUGCCCGCUGUUGGUCUGAAUAGGUCAGCGGCCAAGCGAAAGCAUUAAGCAUCCCACCUGGGGAGUACGCCGGCAACGGUGCAACUCAAAUGAAUUGACGG
rnacentral:rRNA from 1 species